rnacentral:rRNA from 1 species
UACGUAGGGUGCGAGCGUUGUCCGGAAUUACUGGGCGUAAAGAGCUCGUAGGUGGUUUGUCGCGUUGUCCGUGAAAACUCACAACUCAAUUGUGGGCGUGCGGGCGAUACGGGCAGACUGGAGUACUGCAGGGGAGACUGGAAUUCCUGGUGUAGGCGGUGGAAUGCGCAGAUAUCAGGAGGAACACCGGUGGCGAAGGCGGGUCUCUGGGCAGUAACUGACGCUGAGGAGCGAAAGCGUGGGGAGCGAGCAGG